ACUUCAGGACGGGGACAACAAUUGGAAACGACUUCUAAUACCCGAUGUCCCGAAAGGUGAAACCUAAUUGGCCUGGAGAAGAGCUUGCGUCUGAUUAGCUAGUUGGUGGGGUAAAGGCCUACCAAGGCGACGAUCAGUAGCUGGUCUGAGAGGAUGAGCAGCCACACUGGGACUGAGACACGGGCCAGACUCCUACGGGAGGCAGCAGUGGGGAAUUUUCCGCAAUGGGCGAAAGCCUGACGGAGCAACGCCGCGUGAGGGAGGAAGGUCUUUGGAUUGUAAACCUCUUUUCUCAAGGAAGAAGUUCUGACGGUACUUGAGGAAUCAGCCUCGGCUAACUCCGUGCCAGCAGCCGCAGUAAUACGGGGGAGGCAAGCGUUAUCCGGAAUUAUUGGGCGUAAAGCGUCCGCAGGUGGUCAGCCAAGUCUGCCGUCAAUUCAGGUUGCUUAACGACCUA
rnacentral:rRNA from 1 species